AUUGAACGCUGGCGGCAGGCCUAACACAUGCAAGUCGAACGAGUGGCGGACGGGUGAGUAAUGUCUGGGAAACUGCCUGAUGGAGGGGGAUAAUAACGGGAACGGGUAGCAAAUCCCGCUAACCAUCAGAUGUGCCCAGUUGGGAUUAGCUAGUUGGUGGGGUAACGGCUCACCAAGGCGACGAUCCCAAGCUGGUCUGAGAGGAUGACCAGCCACACUGGAACUGAGACACGGUCCAGACUCCUACGGGAGGCAGCAGUGGGGAAUAUUGCACAAUGGGCGCAAGCCUGAUGCAGCCAUGCCGCGUGUAUGAAGAAGGCCUUCGGGUUGUAAAGUACUUUCAGCGGGGAGGCGUUACCCGCAGAAGAAGCACCGGCUAACUCCGUGCCAGCAGCCGCGGUAAUUC
rnacentral:rRNA from 1 species